AUUGAACGCUGGCGGCAGGCCUAACACAUGCAAGUCGAAUGGUAACAGGAAACAGCUUGCUGUUUCGCUGACGAGUGGCGGACGGGUGAGUAAUGUCUGGGAAACUGCCUGAUGGAGGGGGAUAACUACUGGAAACGGUAGCUAAUACCGCAUAACGUCGCAAGACCAAAGAGGGGGACCUUCGGGCCUCUUGCCAUCAGAUGUGCCCAGAUGGGAUUAGCUAGUAGGUGGGGUAACGGCUCACCUAGGCGACGAUCCCUGGCUGGUCUGAGAGGAUGACCAGCCACACUGGAACUGAGACACGGUCCAGACUCCUACGGGAGGCAGCAGUGGGGAAUAUUGCACAAUGGGCGCAAGCCUGAUGCAGCCAUGCCGCGUGUAUGAAGAAGGCCUUCGGGUUGUAAAGUACUUUCAGCGGGGAGGAAGGGAGUAAAGUUAAUACCUUUGCUCAUUGACGUUACCCGCAGAAGAAGCACCGGCUAACUCCGUG
rnacentral:rRNA from 1 species